rnacentral:rRNA from 1 species
GUGGGAGGCUUUGAAGUGUGGACGCCAGUCUGCAUGGAGCCGACCUUGAAAUACCACCCUUUAAUGUUUGAUGUUCUAACGUUGACCCGUGAUCCGGGUUGCGGACAGUGUCUGGUGGGUAGUUUGACUGGGGCGGUCUCCUCCUAAAGAGUAACGGAGGAGCACGAAGGUUGGCUAAUCCUGGUCGGACAUCAGGAGGUUAGUGCAAUGGCAUAAGCCAGCUUGACUGCGAGCGUGACGGCGCGAGCAGGUGCGAAAGCAGGUCAUAGUGAUCCGGUGGUUCUGAAUGGAAGGGCCAUCGCUCAACGGAUAAAAGGUACUCCGGGGAUAACAGGCUGAUACCGCCCAAGAGUUCAUAUCGACGGCGGUGUUUGGCACCUCGAUGUCGGCUCAUCACAUCCUGGGGCUGAAGUAGGUCCCAAGGGUAUGGCUGUUCGCCAUUUAAAGUGGUACGCGAGCUGGGUUUAGAACGUCGUGAGACAGUUCGGUCCCUAUCUGCCGUGGGCGCUGGAGAACUGAGGGGGGCUGCUCCUAGUACGAGAGGACCGGAGUGGACGCAUCACUGGUGUUCGGGUUGUCAUGCCAAUGGCACUGCCCGGUAGCUAAAUGCGGAAGAGAUAAGUGCUGAAAGCAUCUAAGCACGAAACUUGCCCCGAGAUGAGUUCUCCCUGACUCCUUGAGAGUCCUGAAGGAACGUUGAAGACGACGACGUUGAUAGGCCGGGUGUGUAAGCGCAGCGAUGCGUUGAGCUAACCGGUACUAAUGAACCGUGAGGCUUAACCUU